rnacentral:rRNA from 1 species
GGUAGUCCACGCUGUAAACGAUGUCGAUUUGGAGGUUGUGCCCUUGAGGCGUGGCUUCCGGAGCUAACGCGUUAAAUCGACCGCCUGGGGAGUACGGCCGCAAGGUUAAAACUCAAAUGAAUUGACGGGGGCCCGCACAAGCGGUGGAGCAUGUGGUUUAAUUCGAUGCAACGCGAAGAACCUUACCUACUCUUGACAUCCAGAGAACUUAGCAGAGAUGCUUUGGUGCCUUCGGGAACUCUGAGACAGGUGCUGCAUGGCUGUCGUCAGCUCGUGUUGUGAAAUGUUGGGUUAAGUCCCGCAACGAGCGCAACCCUUAUCCUUUGUUGCCAGCGGUUCGGCCGGGAACUCAAAGGAGACUGCCAGUGAUAAACUGGAGGAAGGUGGGGAUGACGUCAAGUCAUCAUGGCCCUUACGAGUAGGGCUACACACGUGCUACAAUGGCAUAUACAAAGAGAAGCGACCUCGCGAGAGCAAGCGGACCUCAUAAAGUAUGUCGUAGUCCGGAUUGGAGUCUGCAACUCGACUCCAUGAAGUCGGAAUCGCUAGUAAUCGUAGAUCAGAAUGCUACGGUGAAUACGUUCCCGGGCCUUGUACACACCGCCCGUCACACCAUGGGGAGUGGGUUGCAAAAGAAGUAGGUAGCUUAACCUUCGGGAGGGCGCUUACCACUUUGUGAUUCAUGACUGGG